AGGAUCAUUGUCGAAGCCUGCCCAGCAGAAGAUCUCGUUUCGGCACCGGAUUUCUCGGCUCUCGCAUCGAUGAAGAACGUAGCGAAAUGCGAUACUUGGUGUGAAUUGCAGAAUCCCGCGAAUCAUCGAGUCUUUGAACGCAAGUUGCGCCCGAAGCCAUCUGGUCGAGGGCACGUCUGCCUGGGUGUCACGCAUCGUUGCCCCCAACCCCAUCGCCUCUCCAAGAGACGAGGGCGGUCUGCGGGGCGGACAUUGGCCUCCCGUGAGCUUUCGCUCGCGGCUGGCCUAAAAGCGAGUCCUCGGCGACGAGCGCCACGACAAUCGGUGGGUGACAAACCCUCGUGUACAGUCGUGCGAGGAUAGUCGCUCGUCUUGUGCUCUGUGCCCCUGUAGCGUCGCGAACGCGACUCUUCCAACGCGACCCCAGGUCAGGCGGGACUACCCGCUGAA
rnacentral:rRNA from 1 species